GAAGUGGGGAUGACGUCAAAUCAUCAUGCCCCUUAUGACCUGGGCUACACACGUGCUACAAUGGUUGGUACAACGAGUUGCGAGUCGGUGACGGCGAGCUAAUCUCUUAAAGCCAAUCUCAGUUCGGAUUGUAGGCUGCAACUCGCCUACAUGAAGUCGGAAUCGCUAGUAAUCGCGGAUCAGCACGCCGCGGUGAAUACGUUCCCGGGCCUU
rnacentral:rRNA from 1 species